UACGUAGGUGGCGAGCGUUGUCCGGAAUUACUGGGUGUAAAGGGCGUGUAGGCGGGAGAUUAAGUCAGAUGUGAAAUUCCCAGGCUCAACUUGGGCGCUGCAUCUGAAACUAAUUUUCUUGAGUGCUGGAGAGGAAAGCGGAAUUCCUAGUGUAGCGGUGAAAUGCGUAGAUAUUAGGAGGAACACCAGUGGCGAAGGCGGCUUUCUGGACAGUAACUGACGCUGAGGCGCGAAAGCGUGGGGAG
rnacentral:rRNA from 1 species